GAGGGUAGAGCUCAAGUGGUAGAGCACAUGCUUAGCAUGCACGAGGUCCUGGGUUCGAUCCCUAGUACCUCCU
rfam:Camelus ferus unplaced genomic scaffold scaffold259, whole genome shotgun sequence.